ACCAACAGCAAGCUGCCAGGUAGCCAGGUUUGGGGCAGGCACCAGGUAGCCAGGUUUGGGGCAGGCACCACUGAAGCCGGGCUGGUGUAACAGCACACCAGUACCGGGGGCCAGGAGAGGCAGAGUGCAAGGAGCUGCAAGCACCUUGUACAGGGCACCUUCAGAACUGCAGUCACACUUAUCCCAACUAACCUCUGGGAACAGGCACAGGGAGAAGGGAGACAGCUACACUGCGUGUGAUGUUCUGCAUUUAUGCUGUCAGUCACCUCUGAAAAUACCUCAGCUGAGCAGCAGGUUUCCACUGGUACUCACACCGCAAGCAUACGUAGUUCACAUCUUAAUUUUCUGACUGGCCUUUUCACAAACCAGCAUGAGUUCAGAUCUCUAUCUCACCUACUACUCCAAUUCUAUGGCUGAAAUAGCCGAUGUGUACUCUUGCUUCAUGCCCUUGUUGUCCACUGCUGUCUUUAGCAUAAUUACUACCUGCUAACCACAUCUAACUUUGUGUGCAACUUCCACCUCUUUUUACCCUUCAGGCAAAACCAGCAUCUUACCCUAAACAAUUCUGCAAUACGUAGCAUCAGGACAGAGCUGCAGAAACUGCACUUAGUUCAGAAACAGAGAGGAAUGAUGAUGCUGCUGCAGGACAGGGGGUUUCCGAGAAGCGAUGCAGCACCUUAGAGAUCCACAGCGAAGACACGGCCGAGGCAGCACCGUUGGGUGGGUUUGCACACACAGACAAUAAAAGCAACUUUCACGCUCAGGCAUUACCGGGGCUGUUGGUAUUCGGGUCCGCACAUGCCAAGUUGUCCGGCCGGGCCCGUCCGGAGGCGCGCGGGCCGCACCGCCAGGGACCGCCACGCGGGAGGGGCGCCGGGCGCGGGGAGCCCCCCCAGCCCCUGCCCGGGGGGGGGGGGGGGGGGGGGGGGGGGGGGGG
rnacentral:lncRNA from 12 species